rnacentral:tRNA from 1 species
GGGGUUGUGGCUCAAUAGUAGAGCGCUAACCUGGCAUGUGUGAGGCCCUGGGUUCGAUCCUCAGCACCGCA